rnacentral:rRNA from 1 species
AUUGAACGCUGGCGGCAGGCCUAACACAUGCAAGUCGAGCGAGCGGCGGACGGGUGAGUCAUGUAUGGGGACUGCCCGAUAGAGGGGGAGAACGACUGGAAACGGUAGCUAAUACCGCAUACUAUCGGAUAACCCAUAUGGGAUUAGCUAGUAGGUGAGGUAAUGGCCUACCUAGGCGACGAUCCCUAGCUGGUCUGAGAGGAUGAUCAGUCACACUGGAACGUAGACACGGCCCAGACUCCUACGGAGGCAGCAGGGGGGAAUAUUGCACAAUGGGCGCAAGCCUGAUGCAGCCAUGCCGCGUGUAUGAAGAAGGCCCUAGGGUUGUAAAGUACUUUCAGUCGGGAGGCGUUACCGACAGAAGAAGCACCGGCUAACUCCGUGCCAGCAGCCGCGGUAAUAC